rnacentral:rRNA from 1 species
GAUGAACGCUGGCGGCGUGCCUAAUACAUGCAAGUCGAGCGAACAGAUGAGAAGCUUGCUUCUCUGAUGUUAGCGGCGGACGGGUGAGUAACACGUGGGUAACCUACCUAUAAGACUGGGAUAACUCCGGGAAACCGGGGCUAAUACCGGAUAAUAUUUUGAACCGCAUGGUUCAAUAGUGAAAGACGGUUUCGGCUGUCACUUAUAGAUGGACCCGCGCCGUAUUAGCUAGUUGGUAAGGUAACGGCUUACCAAGGCGACGAUACGUAGCCGACCGGAGAGGGUGAUCGGCCACACUGGAACUGAGACACGGUCCAGACUCCUACGGGAGGCAGCAGUAGGGAAUCUUCCGCAAUGGGCGAAAGCCUGACGGAGCAACGCCGCGUGAGUGAUGAAGUUCUUCGGAUCGUAAAACUCUGUUGUUAGGGAAGAACAAAUUCGUUAGUAACUGAACAAGUCUUGACGGUACCUAACCAGAAAGCCACGGCUAACUACGUGCCAGCAGCCGCCGUAA